UUAGACACUUUGUUGAUUUGACCAAAGCAUUUUUACUUCCGUCAUCCAGAAAGCUAUUGUCACCACAUGAAAGUAAUGAUCUUGCUAGAUCAGCUGAUCAUUUAUAUACUGUAAGCCAGUUGUACGAGGCUGGAGUGAAGUUUAAGGUGAGAUUAUGCAAAUGCUUGCUUCACCUAACAAGACACUUUGCUGAUUUCGCCAGAGCAUUUUUUCUUCCAUCAUCCAAAAAGCUCCUAAAGCUACCGCAUGAAAAUAAUGAUCUUCCUAGUGCUGAUCAUUUAUAUUCUGCAAGCCAGUUGUACGAGGCUGGAGUGAAGUUUAAGGUGAGCUCAAGCAAAUGCUUAUUUGACCUGGAAUUCACAAACGGAACUUUGGAAAUUCCAUGCAUGAACAUGUAUAAUUCGACAGAGACUACUUAUCGAAACAUCAUAGCAUUUGAGCAAUGCCAUUAUCCAUAUGAUUCACAUUUUACAGACUACAUUGUGCUAUUUACUUUCCUAAUCAACACUCCCAAAGAUGCAGAUUUACUUAUUAGAAAAGGAAUCAUCAUUAAUUGGCUUGCCAACAGCAAUUCAGUGGCAUCUUUUAUCAAUAAUUUGGGGACGAAUAGUAUAUAUGAUAGCAGGAAAGGUGCUUAUCGGGGUUUGUUUUGAGAUUUGAAUGCAUUCUAUAGCAACACUAAGCAUACUUGGAAGGCUACCUUGAAACGUGAUUAUUUCGGCACUCCUUGGAAAACAGCUUCUACUGCAGCUGCUGUUACCUUAUUGCUGCUCACUCUCGGACAAUUUAUAUGCUCCAUCAUCCAAGUUGUGAAGAUGUGAAGAAGCUUUGUGCAUGAAAUUCUGGAACACGUAUAUGGGCUGAGAAUGGAGAAAAGCAAUAGGAGAUUAAGCCAGUGAUAGAUCGUGAUAUGAAUUUCAUGCAACAAGAGUGAAGGUCAUGCUAUCUAUCAACCCGAUGGAUUCGAAUGAAGUGAUUUUGUGUGUCUUUGUUUGUUAUUAACAUACAAUUUUAUAGCUUUGUUAUUAUUGAUACUGUUGGGAUAAUGGGCUUGUCUUCAUGGGAAUUUAUUUAUAUUUGCUCUCAUAAUUAAUUAUCU